CAGGCAGAGAGAGAGAGAGAAAGGGAGAGGCAGGCAGAGAGAGAGAGAAAGGGAGAGGCAGGCAGAGAGAGAGAGAGAAAGGGAGAGGCAGGCAGAGAGAGAGAGAGAAAGGGAGAGGCAGGCAGAGAGAGAGAGAGAGGGAGAGGCAGGCAGAGAGAGAGAGAGAAAGGGAGAGGCAGGCAGAGAGAGAGAGAAAGGGAGAGGCAGGCAGAGAAAGGGAGAGGCAGGCAGAGAGAGAGAGAAAGGGAGAGGCAGGCAGAGAGAGAGAGAAAGGGAGAGGCAGGCAGAGAGAGAGAGAGAGAAAGGGAGAGGCAGGCAGAGAGAGCGAGAGAAAGGGAGAGGCAGGCAGAGAGCGAGAGAAAGGGAGAGGCAGGCAGAGAGCGAGAGAAAGGGAGAGGCAGGCAGAGAGCGAGAGAAAGGGAGAGGCAGGCAGAGAGCGAGAGAAAGGGAGAGGCAGGCAGAGAGAAAGGGAGAGGCAGG
ensembl:lncRNA